CCCUUAGAUGUUCGGGGCCGCACGCGCGCUGCACUGAAGGAAUCAGCACGUCUUUCUCCUUGUCCGAAAGGACUGGGUAACCCGCUGAACCUCCUUCGUGCUAGGGAUUGGGGCUUGUAAUUCUUCCCCAUGAACGAGGAAUUCCCAGUAAGCGCGAGUCAUAAGCUCGCGUUGAUUACGUCCCUGCCCUUUGUACACACCGCCCGUCGCUACUACCGAUUGGAUGGUUUAGUGAGAUCCUCGGAUUGGUCCCGGCGCGGCCUCUGGUCGUGCCGGAGUGCCGAAAAGAAUGUCGAACUUGAUCAUCUAGAGGAAGUAAAAGUCGUAACA
rnacentral:rRNA from 1 species